AUCAGAUUUAUAAAAAAAAAAGGACAUUAUAAGUUAUGACAGGAAUUUACAGAAAUGAGAAUAAUGAGACAAAACAAGGAAAAAUGGAUAAAAAAUAAAGAAUAGAGACUAACGGUGACACAAUAUACUGAUGGUUGGUUCCUUGACGUCCAGUGACAAUUAUUUCAUGCAUGUUCAGGACGAUGUGAUACAAUACAAAGAGAGAAUAAUGGUAUUUUAUAGUAUGAAGAUAAGGGAAUAAAGUGGACAGGUGUGCAAUAAUAUAAAAUAGUUUAAUCUUUGGUUGCUUUUUUAUCGUCUUGUGGUAAAUAAUGGUAAUGUUCAGGAUGAAAAGAAAUUAACAAUAAUUAUAAAAAGGAGGUCCUAAUUUACAGCCCGUUGAACUAUUGAAGCAGAAAUAUAGAUUUAAGUAUAACGGUCCUCCUACGGACCCCUUUUGAAGCGUACAGAGAGCGUGGUAGCCUCUAUACACAGUGGCAAAUCCAGAACUUGUUAUUAGGGAGGGG
rnacentral:lncRNA from 1 species